CGGGCAGUCUUGCACGACCAGCUCCCUCGGAAUCCUCCAGGAUGGGAACAUAGCAAAGGUACUUGGUUGUAGCGGUGCGAUGUAAGUAGCUGCCCACCC
rnacentral:SRP_RNA from 1 species